rnacentral:snoRNA from 1 species
NNNNNNNNUCAGGUGAACCUCCUGUGUGCCUGUGUGUGUGUGCGCUUUCAUGUGUGUGUGUGAGUGUGAGUGUGAGUAUGCAAGGCCCAUGCUAGUGUGUCAGGGGUGUGCAUGUGUAAGGCGCCAGCACCCUCCCCCUACACGUUGAUCUUAUUCGAUCGGCCGGGCCCCGCCGGGCCGAGGUGAGAAGAAGGCGCCGCGAAGCCCCCGGGCACUGUGCGGCUGGGCCGGGCGGGAUGAGUCGAUCAGAUAGGCGAGGCCGCGGCCGCUGAGCGCCCUGCGAUUCUGACCCGA